CUGGCCGUAAACGAUGCUCACUAGGUGUUGCCGGCAUUAACCCCGGCAGUGCUGUUCUGCUAACGCGUUAAGUGAGCCGCCUGGAGAGUACGGCCGCAAGGCUGAAACUCAAAGGAAUUG
rnacentral:rRNA from 1 species